CGAACUUGCCGUCAGCAACCGUUCGUAGGAGGGCGUGCGGGUGGAAAGGACACAUUCCGGAAUCAGAAGACAGGGAACGAAGAAGCGGGAGCCCCGGUGGAAGAUUCCGAAGAUUGUCCUGUGAAGUGUGAUGGGACAGCCUCUUUUCAGCUUCUCCGAAAAUGGAGACAGAGAGGAAAACUGCGGGUCUUGCCAAGGGCACGAGAUCAGAAUCCAGAGCCACGCCACUCCAGGACACUGGAGAUGGUCACAUCAAGCAGAAGUCGAAGCUGCGGGAGCCGCUGUCCUGAGGCUGCAGCGGGCAGGGGCCAGGAUGGAGGAGGCGGCCCUGGGCAAAGGGGCAAGCUCCACCCCUACCCGUGCCCACCUAGGACUUGGCAAAGGACCUGGGGACACGCGCCCUGACCGUCCAUCCUGCCGGGAGGGGCCUCUGCCUUUGGCCAGCGGGCCCCCGUUUCUGCCCUUGUCACACCACGUGCCUGUUUCAGGUCUGCGGUACUCUGACCAGGCCUCCAGCAGACAGAAGCUCUUUGCUCUCCGUACGUCCGCCCCAGAGGACCGAGGGCAGCAGUCUGCGAGGUGGCCAAAGCAAGGGGCUCCAGCCUUCUAGGAGUUAACGACUCCCUCUCCCCAGCUGUCCUCCCCUUGGUGCUCCUCUUCCUCCCUCCUCCCGCUCACAGCAGGCAGGGCCUGGACCUGGGAGCCAGUGCCGCUGUGCUGUUGCCAGGGGAGCUGGGAGGCGGACCUGAGCUAUGCAGGGAAAAGGCCCGGCCUGUCAAAGUGUCUGAGAUGAACCGCCGCCGUCCCCGUGCAGCUGGGCUCAGACGUGUCUCAGCUCUUGUUCUGUGCCUGAGAAUGGCGAAGCCCAGUGAGGUUCAAGGGCACACUCACUAUUCAUUAGUCAGGGGUUCUUGACGUCCCGUCUCUCCCAGGGAUGAGAUCCCCCCCCCCCCCCGCCUUCCUCUUUCUCUCCCUCUUGCGACACAUUCCUGGGUGCCUUUGGCAAGGACUGCACCCUCCUCUUCCUCCUGCCCAACCCCCUCUCCGCAGGCCCCUAAACAGACUCCCCGCAAGGAGACCUGGCGGGGCAGAGACAAUGGCCACAGGAAACCAUUCAGGCGGGACUCUAGCCAUGCUGGUCCGCCCUCUGCUCCCAGCACCCUUGUGGCCCCCACCCCCCUCUGACUCAGGGUCCCCCUGGGCCACCGGCAUGCACAAGCCCAGACAGGAGGAAGCCACUGGGCGUUGCCCUUGGGACAACAGGCCUGUUCUCAGCGGGCCCCCGGAUCUCACACAGCUGGCUAUUUUGGGGCCUCUCUCUAUCAUCAUGUGUCUAUUUGAAGACACUGUCAAACACUGUUGGCUGGAAAAUGUAAAUUGUACAGUAUUUUCUGAAAUGUGGCAUUAUCACAAUGUAAAAGACAUAUAUAUACUCAGCCACAAGCAAAUUGCACUGCUAGGAAUUCACUCUACGGUUAUAUAUGCAAAAAUUUCCCAAGAAGUCUGUACAAGGAUGUUCGUCAGAGCGUUUCUCUUUGAGAGUAUAAGACAAUGGAAAUGAACCUGUGGGCCAUUCAUACUGUGGAAUAUUAGACAGUCGAAAAAAUCACUGUGGCAGAGCUCUCUGUAUAAACUGAUCCAGGAAGUUGGCCAGCGUGUUUGUUGCCUGAGGAGAAUACACUGCAGAACAGGCAAUAGAGCUCGAUCUUACCUGUGUGUAUUGAAGUCAGUCCUAAGCAUAUGCUUCUAUAUGAAGAGUUUCUGGAACUCUGUGUUGGAAGCCUGUCUCUGGGGAUGGACGGAUGUCCUUUUCUCUACUGUUCUAUUUCCUUUCCAUGCACCUGGAAUACUUGUAUUGAAAAUUUUAAAGAGGCCGUUGAAUAUAAUAGGCUUAACUUCUGUUAACCCACAUUAGGGUAAGAGCUCUAAGCGGAUGCUGGUGAUGUUGCAGCAAAAAACAUCCCGGAGACUCUGCCAUUGGCCAUUUGCAGGCCUAAUAAUCCCCCAUCGUCAUCAUCAUGGCUGCUGUUGUUAAUUAAAGGCCUACUAAG